rfam:Brachypodium distachyon strain Bd21 chromosome 2, whole genome shotgun sequence.
AUGAUACUCCCUCCGUUCCAUAAUUUUUCUCUCAAAUUUGCCCAAAUUUGGAUGUAUCUAUUUUUAAAAAACGUCUAGAUACAUGUAAUAUUUCGACAAGAAUUAUGGAACGGAGGUAGUAAAAA